GCUGGAAGAAGUUUCACUUUUGAAAGGAGAAAGAGGUAAAGAGCAGGUGCUAAGACCUGGCCUUGAUGCAUGCAAGGUGAAAGGCGCUGAGACGCUGGCAGACAUCGAUCCUGGCGUUUGAGAAGCGCUAAAAAAAUCACUGGAGAACUGUCAUGAGAAACUCUCGGUGGUGAAGGGCAUCUCCUGAGAAGGAGUCCCGUGCCACAGACUGCGUGUGACAGUCCUGCUCAGGUGUCUGUGAAUUUUACAGACGAGGAGGCUGAGCGGAGAGAGUAUGGAGAACUCAAUCAGGGUCUUACAGCUGGUUAGGGGUGAAUUCAGGCUCAGUCAGUCUGACUCCAGAGCCCAAACUUCUCACAGUUAGGUCACUCUGUGUUUGCUGGAAAUGUUUGUUUCUCUAUGAUGCCUUCUUCCACCUCACGAAGUCGAAUUGGCCAUUUCCUCUUCCGUUCCAGGCUGCCUGCUCGUGGACUUUAUACAGCUCUCCACCAAAGCCUUGCCCUGCUGAGUGAAUUUGUUCUUUGUUCAAGACGCCAAGAACCUGGACACCUUCAACUGGUAACAUAUUUUGGUGAACCAGCCAGAGGUAAGCCCGAAGUUUGGAAUUUAUUUUUGUCCUUUCCACUUUCCUUUCUACUCUGCACAAGUGAGUCUCUCUCUCUCUCUCUCUCUCUCUCUCUCUCUCUCUCUCUCUCUCCUUUUGUCCAACUUGGGACGCUUGGUGGGCAGCGCCUAAACACAGAGGCAGCCACAGGCUUCUGGCUGGGGCCACUCUGA
rnacentral:lncRNA from 1 species